GAUGAACGCUAGCGGGAGGCUUAACACAUGCAAGUCGAGGGGCAGCACUGAUAGCAAUAUUAGGUGGCGACCGGCGGACGGGUGAGUAACGCGUAUGCAACCUACCCUUUACAGGGGGAUAGCCCGGAGAAAUUCGGAUUAAUACCCCAUAGAUCAGUGAUUCUGCAUGGGAUUACUGGUAAAGCUUCGGCGGUAAAGGAUGGGCAUGCGUCCAUUAGCUAGUUGGUAGGGUAACGGCCUACCAAGGCAACGAUGGGUACGGGGUCUUAAAGGAUGGACCCGCACACUGGCACUGAGACACGGGCCAGACUCCUACGGGAGGCAGCAGUGAGGAAUAUUGGUCAAUGGGGGGAACCCUGAACCAGCCAUCCCGCGUGCAGGAAGACAGUUCUAUGGAUUGUAAACUGCUUUUCCUGGGGAAGAAUAAUGACGACGUGUCGUCAGAUGACGGUACCCGAGGAAUAAGCAUCGGCUAACUCCGUG
rnacentral:rRNA from 1 species